rnacentral:rRNA from 1 species
UGGGGGAUAUUGCACAAUGGGCGAAAGCCUGAUGCAGCGACGCCGCGUGGGGGAUGAAGGCUUUCGGGUUGUAAACCUCUUUCGCUAUCGAACAAGGCCCGCUUAGGGUGGGUUGAGGGUAGGUGGAGAAGAAGCGCCGGCUAACUACGUGCCAGCAGCCGCGGUAAUACGUAGGGCGCGAGCGUUGUCCGGAAUUAUUGGGCGUAAAGGGCUUGUAGGCGGCUUGUUGCGCCUGCUGUGAAAACGCGGGGCUUAACUUCGCGCGUGCAGUGGGCACGGGCAGGCUUGAGUGUGGUAGGGGUGACUGGAAUUCCAGGUGUAGCGGUGGAAUGCGCAGAUAUCUGGAGGAACACCGAUGGCGAAGGCAGGUCACUGGGCCAUUACUGACGCUGAGGAGCGAAAGCAUGGGUAGCGAACAGG